CCAAAUUUCAGAACUCUACGACUUACGGCCUAUCUCACUUUAGGGGGCGCUGUAGAGCCACUUGGCCACGCCCACUGACAAGGACAUUAAUGAACAAGAAUUUCACGCGGGGGACAAUUUCGGGUAAAAUCUUGUGAGUUUUCGUGCAUGGCAAAGUCCCCAAAUUGCCCCGCAAAGACGCAGCGGAAAAAAGAAAUAAAUAAAUAAUAAGAAAACCUACGAUUACAAUAGGCCCUUGCAGUUUUCCUGCUCGGGCCUAAUGACCUUUAUUUGUAGUUUUCUUUCCAAAAUCUGCGCUUAACAGUCAUUUUUUUUAUUAAUGUAAAAAAUAAGCCUAUCGAAAUUCCUUGUUUGCGGUCGCUAGGUAGAAUUUGUCUUCUCUGAAGACUUUCUCUGAACGCCUUCAGGUUUAAACAAAAAUAAAACCCAACAACUUAGCAUACAUUCCAAUUGACGUUUUGAUCAGCCAAUCAUAUCUCGAUGUGGAGUCAGUGGGCGGAUUCUUCACAGGUCAAAGGUUAGCUAGCCUGGUGAUCCUCGUAGAAGUCUGAGAUGUAGCUGUUGAAAGAUGUUCCCUGGCUCUGACAAUCUUAUUCUGGGGCUACGGAUUUGUUGCGUUUGUUUUUGUUGUUUUUAUGGGAUUAACCCAUAAAAGUAUUGCGUAGUUUGCGUAAAAUAUGCAGCUUCGGUCCUGGAUUCCAUAGCCGUUUUUAGGUUAGCACCUUUACAGGCCAAACUUGAGUCUUAGUUCGGCUAAGGAGGUUCUACUGCUGGAAGAAAUCUCUGGACUGGAAACUUGGUGUGGAACUAAAAAGAACAUAUCCAUGGAGUAUUGAGCAAUUAAUCCAAACGGACUUUCCUGGUUCUGUUUCAACUGAGCAUCUAUGCCAGGAGAAGGAGGGCCUUGCCUAGAGUGUCGUUCAUGCAAGAACCACCCACUAAGUAUGGGCUCGAGAAGGUGCCUUUAUAAGCAGGAAGCCGUCCUCUGCCAGGUGACUGUCAGAGAACAUUUCCUCCAGGUGGUCUUUAAUCUUCAAGCAGAGUAACUCAGCUUCACGGUCUUCUGCAUCUUGGUUAGACUGUGCGCCAUUUCUACGACACAUGACCCAACACUGGACCACCAUGGGCCCCGCGUCUGGAGGAUUGCAGGCCUUCACCCUCCGUAGGAAGGCCAGGAUGGGUGUGGGAUACUCGGGCACCCCGUGGUCGGGCCAGGCCAUGAACUGGAACUGUCUCACCUCUCUCUUCUCGCUGGAGCCAUUCUGCAGGAGAAACAAGAUGACCUGGCUUACAGGGGUACCCUGAUACUGGUCGGAGGAGUUGGCCAACAGCGAGUCCUUCACGCCGCCUGAGUGUUCAUCUUUCGGUAACGGUGACGCCCGCUUUCUGGAGAAGCAAAAGGAGGCAAUAAGGCAAUGAAUACAUUUUGCUCAUAUUGUC